ensembl:lncRNA
CGCUGUUGUUCUGUACCCCAGAUGCAGACUGUCAAACCAAGAAAAAACGAAGCAGAGGGAAAUACUAUACUAUACUCAUACAAAACAGUCAUGGUUGUCCGAAUGAGAAAAAAAACUGCUUAAAAAAAGAUAUGAUCAAAGAAAAUUGCGUAAUUUAGAGGUGUAAAAAAAAAUGUAAAAUAGAGUAGAAUUUCUUAUUUAUUCUUUCGAUGUGAGGACUGAGGAGAGGUCCAGGGUUGGGAAAGGGACCAGGGGAGGGCAGGGGAAGGAGUUUAGGAGAAAGGAAAUGGUGUAACACAUGUCAAGACCUUAGGCCAAUUCAACUGUACACCCUGACCCCUGCCCUGUCACAAUGGAGGGAGGUCUGAAAGCCACUGACCCAGACUUGUCCCGGAGAGAGAUUGUCCCCCCAGUACAGUACAGAUCAGGCUAGCUAGCAGGCUACAUCUCUGUCUUUUUAAUACGGAAUAGUCUUCAGACAAGCCGACCUUUGCGCUCAUGUUCAAUCAAUCUUCUUUUUCGUUUUCAGCUUUUAGUACCUUGUCUCUAUUUCUGGACGGUUUUUAAAUUCAAGGGCUAAUUCAAGUGUUUGUAAUUUGUCCUUUGAUCAUUUUUUUGUCUCCUGUUUGAUUUUCAUUGCACUUACGACUAUCGGUUGUUAUGAAGCAAAAUGUGUGUCCUUCCUCUUUCUAAGGAACAGAACAAACUAACUCCCACCGGACUCGCUGUUCCUCUGUUUAACAGGUGUGUUUUUGUGAACCGGUGUCUUGAAUCUGUUGUCCAAUCCCCCCUGGAAUGUGUUGUGUUGUCAGACUGUUACCCCCCUCUCCGCUUUCUAGCUAAUGAUGUCACAAUGGAAAAUAGCCAGUGGAACUGAGGUUCUAUCAAGCACCCUUGGCUGCACAGAGUUCUCUGAUUUUUUUAACUCUGAGAUCUACUUCCAGGCCCUUGAUCACUCAUGCUGAACCUUCCCAGGCGUCAGUGACAUCACAAGACACUCUUGGUAGUGUCCGUGCAGGGAAUCCGAUCCCACAUGCUGUAUCCGUCUGAGGUGUAUCAGCCAUCUCAACCCAGUCAGAUAAAAACAUCAACCCGAGUGUGCCAUUUGAGAUUCCGAAUUUUGUUGUGCAUAUUUUAAUAGAUAUCAGUGUUGCGACAAACAAAGAAAUCGGUUCAGAAAAUAAAUUAGUACAAAAAUCGCUGUCUCCAUAGGCAAAUUACACAACGGUAGUGGUAGACCAAGACAAGGGAGGAUUGUGAUUGGGGCAGGGCCAGAUAAUGACAUAUUACACAUACAGCCCAUCAUACCACUGCAUACUUUCUAAAUACCAAUCCCAGUGAUGCUGAUAAAGCCUGAAGUGUUUCUAGGAUUUAUAGAAAUACGUAGACGUACCUGCCCUGUUCUAAAGGAGAGGUUUGAGUUGACCUUAAUUCCGCCAUCUAUUACCCGUGUAACCCAGUUUCCUUCACCCUAUGUGCAAGCCAAGCCCCUGCAUGGCAAUGUGUGGCUCAAAGGGGAAGCCAUUUUGGAUGUCAGGGAUAAUGUCUGGUUCAUUGCUUUCUAUAACAGGGCAGGUCGCUCCCCCUGUCCAAUGUAUCCCGCUAAUACCCUCUAUGCUCCCUGCAAACGUAGAAUGGGUUAAUGGAGUAGUCAGCGGCAUAGCCUGAAAAGGACCUCGGUAUCUUGUGUCUCGCAUCGGGUAAUUUUCUGAGACUUUUAUGGUCCCAUGCAGAAAGAAAUGAAGGUCAGCAUCAGUGGUCUGCCUUGGCCAAGGCGAGGAGAAGAAUUCCAAAAGGACUUCAGAGGAGUGGAUAAUACAUUUGCCUGUGGCCUAAUAUGAGGGACAUUGGGACCAAAGUGCAUCAAUAAGAGGAGGCUGUUGAGGGGAGGACUGCUGAUAAUGAUGUCCGGAACGGUGGAAACCAUGUGUUUUGACGUAUUUGAUACCUUUCCAAUAUUCUGCUCCAGCCAUUACCACGAGCCCGUCCUCCCCAACUCAGGUGCCACCCAACCUCCUGUGGUGUCAAUGGGACUCUGGAGAGGCAGCAGCGCGAUGCCUGGAGCAAAUUUGUGGGAUCCAGAGAAGCGCUCCACUGUAGAGGGAAAUGGGCCAGCAGCACCAGUAACACAGCAGGAGUGCAGUGUCACUCUGAAACUGUGGAGAUGGGAUUAUGGUGAAGCAGCGUUGUGAAGAGGUUCGGGGGAGGUUUACACCUUGGUACAGAGACGGCGUGGAAAAACCCAGAGGCACCAAGAACUUCUUUCUCGCACUCUCUAUUUCUCUCUGAUUCUCAUUCUCUCCACCUCUUCCCCUCUCUCCAGAUCUCUCUCCAUAUCUCAAUUUAAAUUCAAAUUGCUUUAUUGGCAUGACGUUUCAAUGUCCAUAUUGCCACGCCUACUUUGCAAAUGGAUAUAUAUUUAACAAUAUUAACAUCAUAAACAAAAUGUAAUAAUAAUAAUCGGGAUUGUCAAUGAGUAUACACUGAGUAUACCAAACAUCGGGGCAUGGACUCUACAAGGUGUCGAAAGCGUUCCACAGGGAUGCUGGCCCAUGUUGACUCUACAAGGUGUUGAAAGCGUUCCACAGGGAUGCUGGCCCAUGUUGACUCUACAAGGUGUCGAAAGCGUUCCACAGGGAUGCUGGCCCAUGUUGACUCCAAUGCUUCCCUCAGUUCCAUGUCAAGUUGGCUGGAUGUCCUUUGGGUUGUGGACCAAUUCUUGACACACACAGGAAACUGUUGAGCCUCAAAAAUCCAGUGGCGUUGCAGUUCUUGACACAAACAGGUGUUCCUGGACCUACUACCAUACCCCCGUUCAAAGGCACUUACAUUUUUUGUCUUGCCCAUUCACCCUCCGAAUGGCACACAUACACAAUCCAUGUCUCAAUAUCUCAAGGCUUAAAAAUCCUUCUUUAACCUGUCACCUCCCCUUCAUCUACACCGACUUGAAGUGGAUUUAACAAGUGACGUCAAUAGCUUUUGCCCGGAUUCACCUGGUUCCGUCUACGUCAUGGAAAGAGCAGGUGUUCUUAAUGUUUUGUAUACUCAGUGUAUAUCUCUCUGUCUCUUACUCUCUCAACCUCACCACUGUGCAGUAGUGUUGUAUUGGUCCCUAUGGCUGGCUGAGCUGGGCCUACUCCCACAUGGCCCUAUAGGGAAUCUCCCCAUGGUCCUAUCUCCAAGGCAUCCGUCCACCAUCCUGUUGUUAUCCCAGUGUGCUGAGUCAUUAUCGGUCCGUGUCUAUGGUUACUGUCUACACAUACAAACAGGUCAGGGCUAAGUUCUUCCCACCCCUGCCCUAACAUGACCCAUUAUGAGAUAAACAAAGGAAUGACCCUGGACCAGUUAUUGUGGGAAUAAUGUUACAACGUGCUGUCUGUGCAAAUAUAGAUAGAGAGAGACAUCGUCUCUUUAGCCGUCUAGUUCUGAAAAGACACGGCAAAAGCACAAACUAAAGUGGGAAAGUAAAUACGGGCCGUUUUUCUUCUCUUUCCUUUGAUGUCACUGAGGUACAUGUUUGUCAAAUGUCAGUCGUUUUUUGUGCUUACGAAACAAUUGUGAACAAAAUACGAAACUGAAAAGAAAAACGAAUGGCUGUUAAAAGCUUUACCUAAUUGAGUAAUUUUAUCAAUUGAUGAGAACGCAAGUGAAGGGGGAAGUGAGUUCGGUGUAGCCACACCACAGGCUCUCUGUCACGGUGUCUCUGUGUGUAGAUGUUAAGUAGGAUUUGUUGUCCCCUGUUUUUGGGAAAGUCCAUACCCAACUCUUAAGAGUUUGUGAACCCCACAAAGUGACAGUGGAUCUCGUUGAAGAAAGUGGGCGUUGGAGAACCGAACCAGUUACACAGUAGAAGUUAUUUAUGAGCUACAGCAACGAAGAACUCCGCUAAUCUGUUUUCCUUUCCUUUUUCCUCGUUUGCUUGUACCGGAGAGUAGGACUUGAUGAUGAGUACAUCGUGGUUAGAAGUACAUUUUUUCCCCCAUUGGACCAUGUGAGGAAACGUCCGUUCAAUAUUCCAAAUCCAAAACAUUGGAGGACAUGAUAACUGGUUACAUUGAACUGCUAGCCCGGGAAUGCACUGUAGAUUGGUAAAUGAAG